rnacentral:tRNA from 1 species
GCCGAAAUAGCUCAGUUGGGAAAGCGUUAGACUGAAGAUCUAAAGGUCCCUGGUUCGACACCGGGUUUGGGCA